CAAUAGCGUAUAUUAAAGUUGUUGCGGUAAAAAAGCUCGUAGUUGGAUUUCUACCGAAGAUAGCCGGUCGGGUCUUCGACCUUGUAUCUGGUUUUGUCUUUGGUAUCCUCAUAGGGAACGUUUCUGCGCUUUAUUGCGUGGUGCGGUAUCUAUGACUUUUACUUUGAGGAAAUUAGAGUGUUCACGGCAGGCAAACGCCUUGAAUAUAUUAGCAUGGAAUAAUAACAUAGGAUCUUCGUCCUAUUUUGUUGGUUUCUAGGGCUAAGAUAAUGAUUAAUAGGGAUAAUUGGGGGCAUCUGUAUCAACGCGUCAGAGGUGGAAUUCUUGGAUUGCGUUGCGACAAACUACUGCGAAAGCAUUUGCCAAGGAUGUUUCCAUUGA
rnacentral:rRNA from 1 species